AGAGUUUGAUCCUGGCUCAGGAUGAACGCUGGCGGUAUGCCUAACACAUGCAAGUCGUACGAGAGUUUUUAACUCUAGUGGCGGACGGGUGAGUAACACGUGAGAAUUUGCCUUUAGGAGGGGGUUAACAAUUGGAAACGAAUGCUAAUACCCCAUAUGCUUUCGAGUGAAAUGAAUUUUUUAUUUGCCUAAAGAGAAGCUCGCGGCUGAUUAGCUUGUUGGUAAGGUAAGAGCUUACCAAGGCGACGAUCAGUAUCUGGUUUGAGAGGACGAUCAGACACACUGGAACUGAGACACGGUCCAGACUCCUACGGGAGGCAGCAGUGGGGAAUUUUCCGCAAUGGGCGAAAGCCUGACGGAGCAAUACCGCGUGAGGGAAGAAUGCCUAUGGGUUGUAAACCUCUUUUUUCAGGGAGGAAUAAAUGACGUGUACCUGAAGAAUAAGCAUCGGCUAACUCCGUGCCAGCAGCCGCGGUAAGACGGAGGAUGCAAGUGUUAUCCGGAAUCACUGGGCGUAAAGCGUCUGUAGGUGGUUUAAUAAGUCAACUGUUAAAUCUUGAGGCUCAACUUCAAAAUCGCAGCUGAAACUAUUAGACUAGAGUAUAGUAGAGGUAAAGGGAAUUUCCAGUGUAGCGGUGAAAUGCGUAGA
rnacentral:rRNA from 1 species